ACAGUUGUGGUCAUGCCUUAGUACGUGUAAGAACUAUGCUUGCAACUCUUUCAUUCAUGAAUAUUGCAACAACCCUGGUGACAUGAUUUAUAACAAGUCGUUCUGCAUGCUAUUGGAAAGGAACAAUCUGGAGAGUCAAUAGAGAUGUUCAGUAGGGGGAUAUGAAACCUUACCCUUACAGUCAAUAGGUGGGAGACCUUACUCACCUGUUUGAUACCUGACCUUGUAUUAACAUGCUACCAGAUCACUCAACAGGUAAAUGGCCACUCAUGUACUCGGAUUGAAUCUCAAGUGAAAAUUCUUUGGAAAGAAACAGAAUCUUGAGUGAUGUCUUUUUGAAAGAACUUUGAGCUGCAGAAUAUAUUUCUCUCAUUGGAUGGACUGUAGAAAUUCAGUGUAUGGUUGGGUUUAGUGCAGUGAUCCGUGUAUAUAUUGGAAGAUCAUCAUUUUUAAAAGCCUUAACCUUUUAUGUGUACAUUCUUACAACAGUUUUUAAAAGUAUUUUAGCCUGUUGAAAAAUUGAAAAAGGACACAGUGACUGAUUCCUUAUGAAUAUAAUGAAUGUGUAUAUAUUGCAAUUUAACUUGAGGGCUGUUUGAAUAACUUAAAUGGAAAGGUGCGGAUAAAAUUGUCAUACACUCUGUUAUAUUAACCCAAUUCGUGUAACCACUUGUUUUUAUUUUAAGAUUUGAUGUCAAAAUCUCUUACAGGCAUAACUCUCAUAUAUUGAAAGAACAAUAUGUUGUUUUAUAGUAUGUACAUGUAAUUGCUUUUUUUCCCCAUUCAAGAUCAGAAUAUGACUGUUCUUAUACACAUAGCAGUUAUUAACCACUCCUGUUUCAUUGAUAUCACAAUGAGUGUACAGAAAGUCACAUAGACCAACUUUUGCCCUGUGUAUAUUGAUUAACCACAUAAAACUGGGUGGAUAAAAGGUUAAGCAA
rnacentral:sRNA from 1 species